rnacentral:rRNA from 1 species
AUUGAACGCUGGCGGCAGGCCUAACACAUGCAAGUCGAGCGAGCGGCGGACGGGUGAGUAAUGUCUGGGAAACUGCCUGAUGGAGGGGGAUAACUACUGGAAACGGUAGCUAAUACCGCAUACUAUCCGAUGGGCCCAGUUGGGAUUAGCUAGUAGGGGGGGUAACGGCCUAACUAGGCGACGAUCCCUAGCUGGUCUGAGAGGAUGACCAGCAACACUGGAACUGAGACACGGUCCAGACGCCGACGGGAGGCAGAAGUGGGGAAUAUUGGACAAUGGGCGCAAGCCUGAUGCAGCCAUGCCGCGUGUAUGAAGAAGGCCUUCGGAUUGUAAAGUACUUUCAGCGGGGAGGCGUUACCCGCAGAAGAAGCACCGGCUAACUCCGUGCCAGCCGCCGCGGUAAUUC